rnacentral:rRNA from 1 species
AGAGUUUGAUCCUGGCUCAGGAUGAACGCUAGCGACGUGGAUAAGGCAUGCAAGUCGAACGCUCCAGUUUAUGGAGAGUGGCAAACGGGUGAGUAACACGUUGGUAACCUACCUUGAAGUUGGGGAUAACUUUGUGAAAACGAAGCUAAUACCAAAUAGUCCCGCAAGGGUAAAGAUUUAUCGCUUCAGGAGGGGCCGGCGCCCUAUCAGCUUGUUGGUGAGGUAAUGGCUCACCAAGGCUAUGACGGUUAGGAGGCUCGAGAGGGUAUUCUCCCACAUUGGCACUGAGACACUGGCCAAACUCCUACGGGAGGCUGCAGUCGAGAAUCUUCGUCAAUGCGCGAAAGCGUGAACGAGCGACGCCGCGUGAAUGAUGAAGCCCUUCGGGGUGUAAAAUUCUUUUAUUAGGGAUAAAACUUUGAUAGUACCUGAUGAAUAAGAGGUUGCUAACUCUGUGCCAGCAGCAGCGGUAAUACAGAGACCUCAAGCGUUAUCCGGAUUUAUUGGGCGUAAAGCGUCUGUAGGUGGAAUAAAUAGUCAGAUGUUAAAUUUUAGGGCUUAACCUUAAAACUGCAUUUGAAACGUUUGUUCUAGAGGAUGGGAGAGGCAAGUAGAACUCAUAGUGUAGCAGUAAAAUGCGUUGAUAUUAUAAGGAAUACCAAAGGCGAAGGCAUCUUGCUGGACCAUUCCUGACACUGAGAGACGAAAGCGUGGGUAGCGAAUGGGAUUAGAUACCCCAGUAGUCCACGCCGUAAACGAUGGAUAUUAGGCAUUAGGAGUAUCGACCCUCUUAGUGCCGAAGCUAACGCGUUAAAUAUCCCGCCUGGGAAGUACGGCCGCAAGGCUAAAACUCAAAGGAAUAGACGGGGACCUGCACAAGCGGUGGAACAUGUGGUUUAAUUCGACGAUAAACGAGGAACCUUACCCAGGCUAGAAGCCAUUCGAAUUCCUGUGAAAGCGGGGCGUGCCGCAAAGGAGCAAAUGGACAGGUGCUGCAUGGUUGCCGUCAGCUCGUGCCGUGAGGUGUUCGGUUAAGUCCAGCAACGAGCGCAACCCUUGUCGAAUGUUGUAUUUUCUCAUUCGAUACUGCCCGAGUUAAUUGGGAGGAAGGUGGGGAUGACGUCAAAUCAGCAUGGCCCUAGACGCCUGGGGCUACACACAUGUUACAAUGGUAGAUUACAAAGGGUUGCCAAGCCGAAAGGUGGAGCUAAUCCCAUCAAAGUCUUUCUCAGUUCGGAUUGAGGGCUGCAACUCGCCCUCAUGAAGCCGGAAUCGCUAGUAAUCGUGAAUCAGCUAUGUCACGGUGAAUACGUUCUCAGGUCUUGUACUCACCGCCCGUCACAUCAAGAGAGUCGGUAAUACCCGAAGCUCCUCGUUUAAUAGGGGGAACCACGGUAGGAUCGGCAAUAAGGAUGAAGUCGUAACAAGGUAGCCG